UACGUAGGGUGCGAGCGUUUGUCCGGAAUUAUUGGGCGUAAAGAGCUCGUAGGCGGUGUGUCACGUCGUUCGUGAAAAACCUGCAGCUUAACUGUGGGCGUGCGGUCGAUACGGGCAUCACUGGAGUUCGGCAGGGGGAGACUGGAAUUCCUGGUGUAGCGGUGAAAUGCGCAGAUAUCAGGAGGAACACCGGUGGCGAAGGCGGGGUCUCUGGGCCGAUACUGACGCUGGAGGAGCGAAAGCGUGGGGAGCAAACAGG
rnacentral:rRNA from 1 species